GACGAACGCUGGCGGCGUGCUUAACACAUGCAAGUCGAGCGGUAAGGCCCUUUCGGGGGUACGACGAGCGGCGAACGGGUGAGUAACACGUGGGUGACCUGCCCUCCAGCUCUGGGAGUAAGCCUGGGAAACCGGGGUCUAAUACUGGAUAUGACUCCAUGACGCAUGUUGUGGGGUGGAAAGCCUUGUGCGGCUGAGGAUGGGCCCGCGGCCUAUCAGCUUGUUGGUGGGGUGGAUGGCCUACCAAGGCGACGACGGGUAGCCGGCCUGAGAGGGCGACCGGCCACACUGGGACUGAGACACGGCCCAGACUCCUACGGGAGGCAGCAGUGGGGAAUCUUGCGCAAUGGGCGAAAGCCUGACGCAGCGACGCCGCGUGAGGGAUGAC
rnacentral:rRNA from 1 species